rnacentral:rRNA from 1 species
CAUAUGGAUUCCUACGGGAGGCAGCAGUUAGGAAUCUUGGGCAAUGGGCGGAAGCCUGACCCAGCAACGCCGCGUGGGUGAUGAAGGCCUUCGGGUCGUAAAGCUCUUUUCCCGGGGAAGAUGAUGACGGUACCCGGGGAAUAAGCCCCGGCUAACUACGUGCCAGCAGCCGCGGUAAUACGUAGGGGGCGAGCGUUGUCCGGAUUUAUUGGGCGUAAAAGGCUUGUAGGCGGCCACAUCGCGUCGGACGUGAAAUCUCCCGGCUCAACUGGGAGGGGUCGUGCGAUACGGAUGGGCUCGAGGCCGGUAGGGGGACGCGGAAUUCCCGGUGUAGUGGUGGAAUGCGUAGAUAUCGGGAGGAACACCAGUGGCGCAGGCGGCGUCCUGGACCGGCACUGACGCUGAGGAGCGAAAGCGUGGGGAGCGAUCCGGAUUAGAUACCCGGGUAGUCCACGCCGUAAACGGUGCGCACUAGGUGUCGGGGGUAUCGACUCCUCCGGUGCCGCAGCUAACGCAUUAAGUGCGCUGCCUGGGGAGUACGGCCGCAAGGCUAAAACUCAAAGGAAUUGACGGGGGCCCGCACAAGCAGCGGAGCGUGUGGUUUAAUUCGAUGCAACGCGGAGAACCUCACCUAGGCUUGACAUGCCCGAAGUAGAACCCUGAAAGGGGAACGACUCGUAGAGGCGAGAGCGGGCACAGAUGCUGCAUGGCUGUCGUCAGCUCGUGCCGUGAGGUGUUGGGUUAAGUCCCGCAACGAGCGCAACCCUCGCCGCUAGUUACCAUGUCUAGCGGGACCGCCGGUAUCAAACCGGAGGAAGGUGGGGAUGACGUCAAGUCAGCACGGCUCUUACGCCUAGGGCUACACACACGCUACAAUGGCCGGUACAACGGGAAGCCAAGGGGUGACCCGGAGCGAAUCCCAGCAAAGCCGGUCUCAGUUGGGAUUGCAGGCUGCAACCCGCCUGCAUGAACGCGGAGUUGCUAGUAACCGCCGGUCAGCACACGGCGGUGAAUACGUUCCCGGGCCUUGUACACACCGCCAUC